CACGUAGGCGGAUAUUUAAGUCAGGGGUGAAAUCCCAGAGCUCAACUCUGGAACUGCCUUUGAUACUGGGUAUCUUGAGUAUGGAAGAGGUAAGUGGAAUUCCGAGUGUAGAGGUGAAAUUCGUAGAUAUUCGGAAGAACACCAGUGGCGAAGGCGACACACUGGCUCAUUACUGACGCUGAGGCUCGAAAGCGUGGGGAGCAAACA
rnacentral:rRNA from 1 species